CAAUAGCGUAUAUUAAAGUUGUUGCAGUUAAAAAGCUCGUAGUUGGAUUUCUGGUUGAAGCGACCGGUCGGGCGUUGAUUCGUCUGCACUGGAGUCGGUUUUGGCCAUCCUCUAGGAAAGUGCGUCUGGUAUUAAGUUAUCGGGCGUAUGAUCCUGGUCUUUUACUGUGAAAAAAUUAGAGUGUUUAAAGCAGGCCUUCGCCUUGAAUACAUUAGCAUGGAAUAAUAAGAUAGGACUUUGGUCUAUUUUGUUGGUUUGCAGACCGAAGUAAUGAUUAAUAGGGAUAGUUGGGGGUAUUUAUAUUCCGAUGUCAGAGGUGAAAUUCUUAGGUUUUCGGAAGAUAAACUUAUGCGAAAGCAUUUACCAAGGAUGUUUUCAUUAA
rnacentral:rRNA from 1 species